GGGGUAGAAGCUCAGUGGUUGAGCAAUCGAUUGCAGAUCGAUAGGUCAUGUGUUCGAUCCACAUCUGCCCCU
rnacentral:tRNA from 1 species